rnacentral:lncRNA from 1 species
AUGACCUGGAUGACUGAGAAUUUACACAGACAUCAGAGAAUGGAGGAGAAACCAGGAGAGCUGACCAGGACUUUCAACACGGGGAGAGGAAGAAGUGGCGUUAAAGGAGCCUGUUACAUCUGGCCUGAUGUGGCUCAUUUCCUGCUAGAUUCAACACACGCAGGCUCCUUAUGUCAUCUCAUCAUACAGGUACGUGACCUGUUUCUCACCUGUGUUGGAUCGCAAUACCUCUCGUGUGUAGCUGCUAAUCCGCGUGUUCUUUGAAUGAAGACUUAAAUAAGAAAAAUGCCAAUUUCAAACUGUAUUUAACAAUAGAACCAAUUCGAGAUACAAAUAUUACAGAACCCUGGGCCAGUUCAAAACCCUACAAUAACAGAGUCCAUUGCCAGGGCAUGAAGUCUGACACCUAACUAUCCCUUGGCCCAGUCUUUUAUAGAAACACACAUGCAAAUUCUCAAUGUUCAUACAGUCCAAUCCAGUCCCUCUGCUUGGAUGACCUCGUCCUCUUCUUCCCGUCCCAUUUGGUGUUGCUACAGUCCUUCUUCUUCAUUAUCUUCCCAGGUGGCCAGAUCAAAGUUCCCAUUCUUCAUGCAAAUAAGAUCAUCAACCCCACCCUGAGGCCCCGUUUAUGAUGGGUGUUUAACACCCCCUGCCUGACUGACUCCUGAUUACAAUGGAACAACAACAACAAUCCUGUCAAAGGAAUGUCUCUGAUCCUUGUUAUAGUUGCUAAUGAAUCUACCAUGCCUAACUUAUAAGAGAAGACGGGAACAUAUGGCAAAACACAUAAUACAAGAUAAAGACAUGUCUCAUCACCUGUCAUUGUUGAAGUGAAACAUUAACCUGCGCUUUGAACUUUCAUCUUCACAACUCUGCACUUAACACAUACAGUUGAUUAUAACGGGAAAUAAAAGAUAAUUUGGGCCACACGUUCAAGAUUGAACUCCGCAUUUUCCUUUGUAAUUCCGAUUUUAUUUUCACUUCUUUAUAGGUUUUGCUUGUAUAUUUUAUUUCCCCCAUUACUUCAAAGAAAAUGGCAAAAAUGAUGCUGUUGUUACUCUUCAUCAUACACCAUUUCAACGAAAUAAAUCCAACUCCAACAACAUUUUAUCGCAGCAUAGACGUUACAAGUAAAUAAGGGCCUCCCGCUUUUAUGCUCUUAUUUUGAAAGGUUUACCGGAUGCUCGCGCCUGCAGCCUGGUGAACUUCACACUGGCUCAAAGUUUCCGACCUCAGUCGUCUCCACUAAGGAUCACUCUGAGCCUGUCGGCCGCUCU